ACGAGCAGACCUAGCCCAAAACCUCAAAAUCUGAAAUGCUCCAAACUCCGAAUUUAAAGCAAGCAAACAAACAAAACAUAUCAACAGGAGGCCACAGGUAGAACAAGCCACCCUCUUCUUGUGGCUUGUUCACAGCUCCCUCAGCAUCCCACAGUUUCAAAGAUUCUGGAGCUCUUUCAGCUGUGAAAAGUCUGUAGACUUUCAUCCAGCAUGAAGUUAUUAAACAUAAUGAAUUAAAUUUUAUUCAGAUGACAUGUAUAACAUAUAUACAACACGAGUGAAUUUUAUGUUAAGAUUUGAUUUCCACCCCUAAGAUUUCUUUAUUGUGUCUAUGUAAAUAUAUUUCAAAAUCUGAAAAAAAAAUGACUGAAAUUGCAUUGAGGCAAAAAAGAUAGUCCAACUCUGUUGUAAGCACAGAAGCAACGUUCUGUUUAAGGGAGGUGAGUUUACCCUAUUAUAGAGCUAGCACAAACAAACAAAGAAGUCAGCAGUGGCUGAAUAAUAACAUUUUUUUAAAAAAAAUUGCAAAAGCGAGUUCAUGACAGGAAAUGAUGUCAGACACAUGGCCAGGAUCAAGUGGCCAUAGGCUUAGGUUGGGCUUGCAGCCAGGGAAAGCUUGGACUUACAUCUAACAUGGACUUUACAAAAAGGGUAAGACCAAAUAAGUUGUCACCAUCAACGGUGCUGCUAAGGCACACAGUAGGCAUGAAUGGCAGCUAAGGCACACAGUAGGUAUGAAUGGCAAGAGGAAUGGUGGUGGAAAAGGAUGGCAGAAGCAACAGCUAGUAGUCUGAAAUUCCUCCAGAAAGCCAUCCAACAUGCACUUGGAGGAUUGAAUGGCCUAAAACUGCCAGAAAACACAGAUAUUUUCAUUAAGAUUCAGUAGCAAAACUAGUUAUGAAGCAGCAACAAAAACGAUUUUAGAGUUGGGGUUCCAUACAUGAAGACUUAAAGGGUCACAGCAAUAGAGAGAGUGAGAACCACUGAUCUAGAAGAAUCCAUAAGAAACAAGCACAGUCGCUAACAACGGUCCUAAGAUGAAGAGUCUGGGUAGAUGCUGGCACAGCACCAUUUUCUUCUUGCAACUGUUGGCACUAAGAUGACUCGUGUUUGAAUCUUUUUUUAAAAGUUUUUAUUGAGUUUACAUCAUACACCCCAAUCCCACUCAUCUCCCUGUCCCCUCUUAUCUGCCCUUAGCCCUCCCAACCUCUGCCUUUGCAACCUUUCCCCCACCCCAAAGCACAAAUAAACAAAACAAAGCAUAGAAAAUACCUCAUCUUGGAAGCUGUCGUGUGUCUGAGUUUGAAUCUUAAUUCUGCUUGCUAAUAAGCUGUAGAUUUGGGGUCAAAAUUCACCUCAGUGUUCUUAAGUUUCCUUAGCUUCAAAAGAGUGGCUAAGCAUAGUACGCACUUCUGUGUUGUCAUGAGAACUGAGUUACCUACC
rnacentral:lncRNA from 1 species